rnacentral:sRNA from 1 species
UUUUUUAGUUUUUUUUUUCUCUUUUU